UCGAACGAGUUCUCGUUGAUGAUCGGUGCUUGCACCGAGAUUCAACAUGGAACGAGUGGCGGACGGGUGAGUAACACGUGGGUAACCUGCCCUUAAGUGGGGGAUAACAUUUGGAAACAGAUGCUAAUACCGCAUAGAUCCAAGAACCGCAUGGUUCUUGGCUGAAAGGUGGCGUAAGCUAUCGCUUUUGGAUGGACCCGCGGCGUAUUAGCUAGUUGGUGAGGUAAUGGCUCACCAAGGCGAUGAUACGUAGCCGAACUGAGAGGUUGAUCGGCCACAUUGGGACUGAGACACGGCCCAAACUCCUACGGGAGGCAGCAGUAGGGAAUCUUCCACAAUGGACGCAAGUCUGAUGGAGCAACGCCGCGUGAGUGAAGAAGGCUUUCGGGUCGUAAAACUCUGUUGUUGGAGAAGAAUGGUCGGCAGAGUAACUGUUGUCGGCGUGACGGUAUCCAACCAGAAAGCCACGGCUAACUACGUGCCAGCAGCCGCGGUAAUACGUAGGUGGCAAGCGUUAUCCGGAUUUAUUGGGCGUAAAGCGAGCGCAGGCGGUUUUUUAAGUCUGAUGUGAAAGCCCUCGGCUUAACCGAGGAAGCGCAUCGGAAACUGGGAAACUUGAGUGCAGAAGAGGACAGUGGAACUCCAUGUGUAGCGGUGAAAUGCGUAGAUAUAUGGAAGAACACCAGUGGCGAAGGCGGCUGUCUGGUCUGUAACUGACGCUGAGGCUCGAAAGCAUGGGUAGCGAACAGGAUU
rnacentral:rRNA from 1 species